rnacentral:rRNA from 1 species
UGUGAUAAAUUAGUCGGUGAGGCAGAUAACUAAUUAUUGAUGACAUAAAUAUAAAAAUUAGUGUGGUGUUGAGAUCAUGCUAAGGAUUGAAAGGUGUUUAUAUUAGUUUAAGGGGGGUUUAGAAGUAACCAUUCCUAUUAGAGUGUUACAACUUUGGUCUUUAUCUUAUUACCUUCUUGUAGUAGUCAAUGAUUUAAAAUUAGCAGAAAAAGCAAAAUGUUAUAAUGAGUAGUUAAUUAUUUUUCUAUAGUUCUCGCUAUAACUCGAAAUGUUUAUUAAAAACAUUUCCACCCCUAUAUAUGGGUGGUAUGACCUGCUCAGUGUUUAUUAUAAAUAGCCGCAGUAUUUUGACUGUGCUAAGGUAGCAUAAUUAAUUGUCCUCUAAAUAGGGAAUUGUUUGAAUGGUUCAUUUGGGUUAGAAGGAAUAGAGUAAAAAUUUUAUGAAAUUAGUAAAGGGGUAAAGAACCCCCUUAUUACACAAUAGACGGAAAGACCCCGAGAGCUUAUUUUAAAAUUUGUUUGGGGCAAAAGCUUGGCUUCACAAGCAUUUUGAACCCCGUUAGGGUUUAUUGGUUAAGUUACCUCGGGGAUAACAGGGUUAGAAGUAAGGAGAGUUCUUAUCGAGCUUCUUAAUUGCUUCCUCGAUG